rnacentral:lncRNA from 1 species
AGAGCCGUCUGGAUUCUCAUUCUCUAGUCCCUGCGACAAAUAAACUUGAAGCUCAUUUAGAUGGGAAAUUUCAUCUAAAUUAUCCCCUUGAGUAUCCCUGAACUCCGUCCACGAUUUAAUAGCUGUUAAGCCAGCAACUCUUUUAGACGACUGUGAUGUAAACGAAGUAGGGGCUGGAAUAUUAGGCCUAGCAUGCUCUAACGCCUGUUUAUAAGCAUUAUAAACAGUUUAAGCAUUAACUUUAAUUGAUGCUUUCGCAUCAGCUAGUGUAGCAAUUUCUACUUUUGAAAGAUCUAAAGAUCGAUAAAUAGUAGGAUACCAAAAGUGAGGACCUCCUAAUUUCAUAGUUGGAUUUAACAUAGCAGAUACGCCAAAAAUAGGAGGGAUUGGAAAAAAAUAUUUUUUAAACUUUUUUUUCAUUUCAGUUAUUGCAAGUUGAUAAAUGUCCCAUCCCUCGCUAAAAUCAACAAACAAAUUAGC